rnacentral:rRNA from 1 species
GUCUCAAAGAUUAAGCCAUGCAUGUCUAAGUAUAAAUCAUUUAUACAGGUGAAACUGCGAAUGGCUCAUUAAAUCAGUUAUAGUUUAUUUGAUAGUACAAUUACUACUUGGAUAACCGUGGUAAUUCUAGAGCUAAUACAUCGUAAAAGUCUCGACUUCUGGAAGGGACGUAUUUAUUAGAUAAAAACCAAUAA